rnacentral:misc_RNA from 1 species
UAAUUAUUAAAUUAAAUUCUUAAACGUCUUGUGCGAAGCAUUUUUCAGCCUAAGUGUAAUUAGUUACCUACAGCCCAAGACCUUGGAAGAGAAUACUAGGUGAAGGCAGAACACGAAGCCGAAACAAGAUCUAUCCACUAUGAAGUUUUAUUGUCUGGUCAUCAUUUUUGUGUGCAUUUUAAACACAGCAAGAUGUCAAAUUCCUAUGGGAAUACCUAUGGGAAGACCUAUGGGAGGACCUAUGGGAGCCUUGACUAGCUGUCAAUUACAGCGAUUGAAAACUGUAAUGAAAAAUUAUCCAGGCAUGAUUAUUCCUAAGUGUAACCCUGAUGGGAGCUUCCAGAAGAAACAAUGCCGAAACGAUGCCCCAAUUUGCUUCUGUGUUAACAGCUUAGGAUUACGAAUUCCCCAUACUUUAUCUCGCGGACCUGUUGAGUGUUAAAUAAACUAAAUAUAUUUAAAACAUUUAAAAUGGAACUGAAUGGUACUUUCUAAAUUAAAUUCUAAAUGUGAAUUUACAGCUGUUUGUUAGAAAAUUAUACUUUAAAAAAUUCCAGAUCAAAUUUUGGUAUAAGAAACCAGUACUUUUGGUGCAUCAUCCGUAAAAUCAAUUUUACCGUAAAAUUUUAUACCAUAAAUUUUACAGUAAUAUUUAUUUAAUUACAGUGGCUUUACGGUAAUUAUUACUGCAAAAAUUACGGCUUAACAAAUUUUUCGCUCCGUAACAUAUAAAAAGUUCCACACCAGAUGCUGGUAUUUUUUUAUUGCAAUUUGAUUCGGAAUUUUUUACAGUGUACCAGAUUAUUUAUUUGUUGCUAUUUUCAUUUUCAUUAGUUUUCUAAAACUUUAUAACACAUCAAAAAAUAUAUAACAUAGUGUAUCAUUUUUGUAAAUAAUCAUUAAAUAUUUAAAAUCGAAAUAUUUUCAAAACAUAUUCAUUUACGUGGGUAUAUUGAUAACGAGUUAUAGCAGAAAAUCAAACAUUAUUGAUAAAUAAUACAGAGAUUUAAAAGAUAUGUAUAGUUUUUUUAUAUUAAAUAAAAAUUUAUUGCUUA